UUGUUCUCUUGCUCUCUGUACAUCCCCUGUUGGACCAGUACCUGCUUCAUCUUUAUUUUACGCACAUGACUGACCUUCUUUGUACUUGCCUUAGGCCCCAGCUGGUGAUUGUUCUCAUCAAAGGGGUGUUGAGGGGCCAUGCCCCUCUGCUGGUUUCCCUGGUAACUAAUGAGCCCAGCUGAAAUCAAUUCCCCCAGACCCAGUAAUCUCCUUUUUACCCAGGACUGAAGACUGCCGCCAUGCUCUGCCCACAGACUGCUUUACACCUCGGGGUGCACUCCAGGACCUUACUUCACGUGGGGUCACUUUAAUAAUAAGGCAUUUUAUAAAUGAACCUGUUCUAUACAAUACAGACUUUCACACACAGAGAGAGACAUUAACUUCGCAUUCAUCACUGAAAUCAAUCCAAGAGAAUAUCCUGCUUAACUAGGCAUUCUGUAUAUUCUUCCCUAUUGACUUUGGGGUUGGCUACAUGACUUGCUUUGAUGAUUGGAAUGUGGGCAGAAAUGAAAGCAUUUUGUGAGCUGAAAUUUUGAAAAUGAGAAGCUUAUUCUCUGAGAGGAAGAUUUUAACUUAGCUGAGCUCUCCUGGCCUCUGUGCAGCUCCUCAGAUGUCUGUUGUUACAUAACAAACCACCCUACAAAUUUACACUGUUAAGCCAGUGGCUUAAACAACAAUUGUUCGUUAAGACAGUUUUGCAAGUGGAAUGGAGGCUUCUCCACCGCCCGUCCCCAUUCCCUGAGAAUGACUGCAUUCAGCUGAAAGCUCUGCUGCAGAAAGAAGCUUGCUUCCUAGUAGAAGUACUCCAAGAGGACAGGCCCUACGCUGACCAGCUUAUCAAGCCUCUGUUUGCAUCACACUUGCUAAUGUUCCACUGGUCAGAGGCCAUCCAUGGCCAAGUCCAGAGUCAAGGUAGAAGGAGAUUACACUGGGAGUGACCACCUGGAGGUAUCCUUCAUCGGAGGCUGCCAACCUAACUGUCGACCCCACUCUGCCCUCUGAACCCAAGUGAUUCACAUCCCUCCCAUUCACCAUCCCCCAAGACCCCUCAAAGUCUCAUCCCAGGAAGACCUCCAGCUAAGCCUUGAGGGACUCUGCAUGUGGCCUCUCUCUCUAGAAGAUUGUUGAGACUUCCUUAUAGCCUGGAGGCUGGGUUCCAAGAGAACCCAGACUGACGCUGCCAGAUUUCUUAGGCCUGGAGCUGGAGCCGCUGCCUAUUCUAAUAGUCAAAGCUAGUCAUAAACAAGCUAAGAUUCAAGAAGAAGGAAGAAAGAUCCUCCAUCUGCUACAGAGAGGAGUGAGAUGUGACUACAGAGAGAGGAGCAAUUGGUGUGAUCAUCUUUGGGGUCCUGCUGCUGCUGCUAAGUCGCUUCAGUUGUGUCCGACUCUGCGAC